UGUUCCACCAGAAUGACCCAAUGACAUCACUCAGUAGAAUUCUGACAAGGGGCUGGCUUUGUAGAGGAACCUGGCUGCUACUAAAAGAAAUCUCACAGGACAGAAAUCUCAUCACUGCACAGUGUGUGGGAAGGUAUUCAGUCGUGCAUUGCUCCUUGUAAGACACCAGCGCAUUCACACAGGAGAGAAACCUUAUCAGUGCACUGAGUGUGGGAAGAGAUUCACGCAGUUAGGAAAUCUUCAAUCGCACCAGCGUGUUCACACAGGAGAGAAACCUUAUCACUGCACUGACUGUGGGAGGAGUUUCUCACAUUUUAGUUCCCUGAAAAUGCACCAGCAGACUCACAGAAAAAGAAUCUUAUCAAUGUACUGAAUGUCUGAAGAGUUUCAGUCACUGAGCAAAUCUUAAGACACCAUAAAAUGCACACAAGUGGAGCCCUAUCCCUGCACUGAAUGUGGGUAGAAGUUCAGUCAGUUACUGGGUCUUGAAGGACAAGAGAAUUCACAGAACUUUACUCCUGAGGACUCAUAAACACCAUACUAGAUCUUGUUUACCGUUCUGAUUUUUCUACGCCACAUUUUAUCAAUUCUGAACUGCACACCUCAAACAUAGGUUUGUUGUUGACAGGCUCUGUGAGCACCCUUCCUGUAUAUUACAAGCACGCCUGCCAGCGUUUUUUUCAAGUGCUGCAAUAAUCAUUAUCGCAUCAACAUACUUAAAUCACUCUCCCUUAUACAGAGGGGGGAUUCACUUAUGACCUGGAAGUGGAAAUGACGUAUGUUCACAUUUUAACUUUUGAAGCUAUAUAUGUUUGAACUAUAUCAAAACAAAGAUGGAUGCGCCUGAGAGACAAAGUUUUUUUCUGUGGAGACUGUUGCUGAGAGAAGGCUAUUGCUGAGUAAGAAAGUGAUCCUGAAUCAUUCUCGUCUGCCUCACACAUGGCUUUAGAUGAGCUAUGAGUUUCAAAAAAGUGAAUUAUCGCUGGUAUACCAAACUUAUAAGAAAACUGUGCGAUGUGCUGAAAACAACGCAAAAAAAUUAGCAAGGCAGUUGGCAUUGGGUAUUGAAUAUCUGAAAAUCUGUUUGAUUUGAUUGUGGCUGGCUUUACCAAAAGUAACAGGUUUUUUAGGUUGUAAAUGACAUUGUUACAUGCAAGCUUUGCCAUUUCCCAUCAUUGUGUAUGCCGUUUUAUACUGAGUUGGAGCCUGGUAUGUUUGUAUUUGCUGUAGUAAAUAUAAUAAGCAGG